AUUGAACGCUGGCGGCAUGCCUUACACAUGCAAGUCGGACGGCAGCACGGGAGCAAUCCUGGUGGCGAGUGGCGAACGGGUGAGUAAUACAUCGGAACGUGUCCUGGAGUGGGGGAUAGCCCGGCGAAAGCCGGAUUAAUACCGCAUACGCUCUAUGGAGGAAAGCGGGGGAUCUUUCGGGACCUCGCGCUCAAGGGGCGGCCGAUGGCAGAUUAGCUAGUUGGUGGGGUAAAGGCCUACCAAGGCGACGAUCUGUAGCUGGUCUGAGAGGACGACCAGCCACACUGGGACUGAGACACGGCCCAGACUCCUACGGGAGGCAGCAGUGGGGAAUUUUGGACAAUGGGCGCAAGCCUGAUCCAGCAAUGCCGCGUGUGUGAAGAAGGCCUUCGGGUUGUAAAGCACUUUUGUCCGGAAAGAAAACCUCCUGGUUAAUACCCGGGGGGGAUGACGGUCCAGGAAGAAU
rnacentral:rRNA from 1 species